AGUAGAAUGGCUGAGAAAUUGUAGGUGAAAGAUUGUAAAUCUUUUAAGGGGUUAAAACUCUUCUACUA
rnacentral:tRNA from 1 species